rnacentral:rRNA from 1 species
AGUUUGAGUCCUGGCUCAGGAUGAACGCUGGCGCGUGCUUAACACAUGCAAGUCGAACGAAGCAUAAGAGACAGAAUACUACGGUAGGAAGAUUUUUAUGACUGAGUGGCGGACGGGUGAGUAACGCGUGGGUAACCUGCCUCAUACAGGGGGAUAACAGUUAGAAAUGGCUGCUAAUACCGCAUAAGCGCACAGUACUGCAUGGUACAGUGUGAAAAACUCUGGUGGUAUGAGAUGGACCCGCGUCUGAUUAGCUAGUUGGUGAGGUAAGGGCUCACCAAGGCAACGAUCAGUAGCCGACCUGAGAGGGUGAACGGCCACAUUGGGACUGAGACACGGCCCAAACUCCUACGGGAGGCAGCAGUGGGGAAUAUUGCACAAUGGGGGGAACCCUGAUGCAGCGACGCCGCGUGAAGGAAGAAGUAUUUCGGUAUGUAAACUUCUAUUAGCAGGGAAGAAAAUGACGGUACCUGACUAAGAAGCCCCGGCUAACUACGUG